rnacentral:rRNA from 1 species
GGUACUGACGGGUCAGGUUGCGCGGUAAAGCGGGGGGUGGAGGCGUUGUGCGGGUGUAUUUGGGGUAAAGAGUUCGGUGGUGGAUGGUUAAGUCGGAUGUUAAAGACUGGGGCUCAACCUCGGAAAAGCAUUGGAUACUGGCAGACUCGAGUGUGGUAGAGGCAAUCGGAAUUCCAGGUGUAGCGGUGAAAUGCGUAGAUAUCUGGAAGAACACCGGUGGCGCAAGCGGAUUGCUGGGCCAUAACUGACGCUGAGGAACGAAAGCUAGGGUAGCGAAUGGGAUUAGAUACCCGGGUAGUC